rnacentral:rRNA from 1 species
ACACUCCUACGGGAGGCAGCAGUGGGGAAUCUUGCGCAAUGGGCGAAAGCCUGACGCAGCCAUGCUGCGUGAAUGAUGAAGGUCUUAGGAUUGUAAAAUUCUUUCACCGGGGACGAUAAUGACGGUACCCGGAGAAGAAGCCCCGGCUAACUUCGUGCCAGCAGCCGCGGUAAUACGAAGGGGGCUAGCGUUGCUCGGAAUUACUGGGCGUAAAGGGAGCGUAGGCGGACAUUUAAGUCAGGGGUGAAAUCCCGGGGCUCAACCUCGGAAUUGCCUUUGAUACUGGGUGUCUUGAGUAUGAGAGAGGUGUGUGGAACUCCGAGUGUAGAGGUGAAAUUCGUAGAUAUUCGGAAGAACACCAGUGGCGAAGGCGACACACUGGCUCAUUACUGACGCUGAGGCUCGAAAGCGUGGGGAGCAAACAGGAUUAGAAACCCUAGUAGUCCCAUG